rnacentral:rRNA from 1 species
GAUCCUGGCUCAGGAUGAACGCUGGCGGCGUGCCUAACACAUGCAAGUCGAGCGAAGCACUUUGCUUAGAUUCUUCGGAUGAAGAGGAUUGUGACUGAGCGGGCGGACGGGUGAGUAACGCGUGGGUAACCUGCCUCGUACAGGGGGGAUAACAGUUAGAAAUGACUGCUAAUACCGCAUAAGACCACAGCACCGCAUGGUGCAGGGGUAAAAACUCCGGUGGUAUGAGAUGGACCCG